GACGAACGCUGGCGGCGUGCCUAAUACAUGCAAGUAGAACGCUGAAGGAGGAGCUUGCUCUUCUGGGUGAGUUGCGAACGGGUGAGUAACACGUAGGUAACCUGCCUGGUAGCGGGGGAUAACUAUUGGAAACGAUAGCUAAUACCGCAUAACAGUAGAUGUUGCAUGACAUUUACUUAAAAGGUGCAAUUGCAUCACUACCAGAUGGACCUGCGUUGUAUUAGCUAGUUGGUGGGGUAACGGCUCACCAAGGCGACGAUACAUAGCCGACCUGAGACGGUGGUCGGCCAGCCUGGGAGUGAGACAGGGCACAGACGGCUACGGGAGGCAGCAGUAGGGAAUCUUGGGCAAUGGACGGAAGUCUGACCGAGAAACGCCGCGGGAGUGAAGAAGGUUUUCGGAUCGUAGAGCUCUGUUGUAAGAGAAGAGCGAGUGUGAGAGUGGAAAGUUCACACUGUGACGGUAACUUAUCAGAAAGGGACGGCUAACUACGUG
rnacentral:rRNA from 1 species